rnacentral:tRNA from 1 species
GCCUCGGUGGUCGAGUUGAUUAAGACACUCGCUUCGGAAAGUCGAGAGGUCCCAGGUUCGAAUCCUGGCUGAAGUA